ensembl:lncRNA
GUGGCUCCAGGUGCACCAGUCAUACUCUUCCUCCAGGCAGGGAGCGUUGCCCCCUUGUAGUGCCUGAACCUCGGCUGAGUCGGGUGGCAGCCUCCCAUUUGUUAAAUGCUACAUGAGGUGACUGGUGCUUCUCUGCUCAUUGCUGAGAGGACAGAUGGUGAGGCCACGGAAUGUUCUGGAGAGCCGAUGGUAAUUACGAGCCAGUAGCAGAGCCGGUGGCUUCCGCAGGGAACAGGCCUGAGCGGAAGUGCUCGAGUGGCGUGGGGGGUUGUUUGCCCUUUGACUGCUCAGCAUGCUGUUGCUCUGAGCGGUGAGCUUGUGUUGGGACUGUCGUCGCUGCACAUUUCUCUGCUCUUCACGUCAGUUAAGUGUGUGUGAGAACAUGGUGACAUUUGUGAGCUUUUGUCAUUCACACGGAGAGUUGAACUCUUCAGAUGUGUUUCCAGUUCUGUUAAUUUCAAUAGAUAACUGAUGGAAGUUGCAGAUAUUUACAAAAUCAUUUUAUGGAGUAUUAUUGCCAAAAAGUAAAACUCUAUGAUCAUUUACUCAUGUCAUUCCUAACCUAUGUUCCUUUAUUUCUUCAUAGAGCACAAAUGGAGAAUUUUGAAGCAUCUUCAGACAGCUUUUUUCUAUACAACGGUGAUCAAAAGUGUUUUUUACGCAGUUUUUUAGACCUGGAUGAUGUAAAUGUAUGCAACACCCCUGAAAAUGCUUUUAUUAUCAUUACUGAUUGGUAAAGCGGCCAGCUUUGGCAUCAUGUGACAAGUUCAGCUCAGACGGAACUGCCAGUGUAAAUGUAAGUAACCCAACACACACACACACACACACACACACACACACAGACACAGAUUUGAGAUGAGUGUUAAUCUCUAAGGUGUGUUAGGAAAGCACAGAAGGAAGGAGAUAUCAAAUUAAGCUCACAUAAAACUUAUUUACUAAAAAACAUCCAAGUAAAAUUUAGAUUAGCAAAAAUUCCAUGUCAUUCUAGUUUUAGCCCAAUGCGAUGGGCUUCAUGAGAAGGAUAACAUGAUAAAGACUUGUUUGAACAUAUAAUCUCUGAGGAAAGAUUCCUCUGAGUUAAAUGUUAUGCACAUCCAACCAUGUUGAAUAUUUACUUCAUCUCUCACAUAGCUCUCUCAAACGUUAAUACUGAGACAAAGAAACGCAUACACGCAGCUAAAAAUAAAUUGGCAUGCAUAGUCA